CUGCAUGGCUGUCGUCAGCUCGUGUCGUGAGAUGUGGGUUAAGUCCCGCAACGAGCGCAACCCUUGCCUUUAGUUGCCAGCAGUUCGGCUGGGCACUCUAAAGGGACUGCCGGUGUUAAACCGGAGGAAGGUGGGGAUGACGUCAAGUCCUCAUGGCCUUUAUGACCAGGGCUACACACGUACUACAAUGGCCGAUACAAAGGGCAGCGACACUGCGAGGUGAAGCCAAUCCCGUAAAAUCGGUCUCAGUCCGGAUUGGAGUCUGCAACUCGACUCCAUGAAGUUGGAAUCGCUAGUAAUCGUGGAUCAGCAUGCCACGGUGAAUACGUUCCCGGGCCUU
rnacentral:rRNA from 1 species